rnacentral:rRNA from 1 species
UACAGAGGUCUCAAGCGUUGUUCGGAUUCAUUGGGCGUAAAGGGUGCGUAGGUGGCGCGCUAAGUCAGGUGUGAAAUUUCGGAGCUCAACUCCGAAACUGCAUUUGAUACUGGCGUGCUUGAGGACUGGAGAGGAGACUGGAAUUUACGGUGUAGCAGUGAAAUGCGUAGAGAUCGUAAGGAAGACCAGUGGCGAAGGCGGGUCUCUGGACAGUUCCUGACACUGAGGCACGAAGGCCAGGGAGCAAACGGG